UACAGAGGUGGCAAGCGUUGUUCGGAAUUACUGGGCGUAAAGGGCGCGUAGGCGGUUCGGUAAGUCCUGUGUGAAAUCCCUCGGCUCAACUGAGGAACUGCACGGGAGACUGCCGGGCUUGAGUUCGGGAGAGGGAAGCGGAAUUCCGGGUGUAGCGGUGAAAUUCGUAGAUAUUGGGAAGAACACCGGUGGCGAAGGCGGCUCACUGGCUCAUUUCUGACGCUCAGGCGCGACAGCGUGGGGAUCAAACAGG
rnacentral:rRNA from 1 species